AGUGAACGCUGGCGGCGUGCCUAAUACAUGCAAGUCGAACGAAGUGGCGCACGGGCGGGUAAUAUAUAGUUAAUCAGCCCUACACUGAGGAACAACAGUUGGAAACGACUGCUAAUACUUCAUAGUGUAGGAUGAGAUGAUACCGUAUCAGCUAGUUGGUAAGGUAAUGGCUUACCAAGUCUAUGACGCGUAACUGGUCUGCGGAGAUGAUCAGGAGAAUUGGAACUGAGACACGGUCCGGGAUCCUGCGGGAAGGGGCAGUACGGAAUUGUGCGCAAUGGGGGAGACCGAAACGGGGCUACGGCGCGUGGAGGAUUACCAUUGUCGGAGCAUAUACUCAUUUUAUCAGGAAAGCGGUACCUGAUGAAGAAGCACCGGCUAACUCCGUGCCAGCAGCCGCGGUAAUUC
rnacentral:rRNA from 1 species